rfam:Chlorocebus sabaeus isolate 1994-021 chromosome 4, whole genome shotgun sequence.
UUUUUAGUGUAACUAUGUCUCAUGCAACAUUUAGGGCAUACUUAUACUAAAA